AUUGAACGCUGGCGGCAUGCUUUACACAUGCAAGUCGAACGGCAGCGCGGGCUUCGGCCUGGCUGCGAGUGGCGAACGGGUGAGUAUUGCAUCGGAACGUGCCCAGUAGUGGGGGAUAGCCCGGCGAAAGCCGUAUUAAUACCGCAUACGACCUGAGGGUGAAAGCGGGGGACCGAGAGGCCUCGCGCUAUUGGAGCGGCCGAUGUCGGAUUAGCUAGUUGGUGGGGUAAAGGCUUACCAAGGCGACGAUCCGUAGCUGGUCUGAGAGGACGACCAGCCACACUGGGACUGAGACACGGCCCAGACUCCUACGGGAGGCAGCAGUGGGGAAUUUUGGACAAUGGGGGCAACCCUGAUCCAGCCAGGACGCGUGCGGGAAGAAGGCCUUCGGGUUGUAAACCGCUUUUGUUCGGGAAGAAAUCCUCUGGGCUAAUACCCCGGGGGGAUGACGGUACCGGAAGAAUAAGCACCGGCUAACUACGUG
rnacentral:rRNA from 1 species